rnacentral:rRNA from 1 species
ACGUAGGGUGCAAGCGUUGUCCGGAAUCAUUGGGCGUAAAGAGCGUGUAGGCGGCCCGAUUAGUCCGCUGUGAAAGUCCAGGGCUCAACCCUGGAAUGCCGGUGGAUACUGUCGGGCUCGAGUCCGGAAGAGGCGAGUGGAAUUCCUGGUGUAGCGGUGAAAUGCGCAGAUAUCAGGAAGAACACCAACGGCGAAGGCAGCUCGCUGGGACGGUACUGACGCUGAGACGCGAAAGCGUGGGGAGCAAACAGG